UUUUUGAUAUUGUGUGACUGCCAUAAUGUUUUUAUUUUAUAAUAUAUAUUAUUUUAUAUUUUAUGUAUAUAUAAUAUAUAUAUGUGAUAAAAAUAAUACACAUUAACUUUUCAUAAAAUUUUUAUAUGAUAAAAUAUUACAAAUGAAUAUAAUAACAAAAUUGUUAAAUAUUUUCUUCUAGAAAAUAUUUAAAUAAGAUAUUUAUUAACACAAAAAAAAAAAAAAAAAUAAAAUAAUAAAUAAAAUAUAUAUAUAUAUAUAUAUAUAUAUAUAUAUAUAUAUAUUUUUAACAAUUUAGGGGGGUAAAAUAUGUCAGUUUUAUGUCACACCUUAUUUAGUUUUUUUAAGGACCUUAGGAAUUUAUACAAACCAUAUACAGCAUUUUCUUUCUUUUUCUUCCCAUGUGCUAUAAAUAUGUAUGGAAUUAUAAAAUUUAAUAAUUCAGAUUACCAUAUAAAUAAGGACGUAACAGAUGCCAAUGCUUAUAUGAAAAGGACUGCCCAAGAAAAAUAAUACAAUGAAAUACGAUAGAAAUUAAACAUUAUGUUUUAAAUGGAAAUGAGGAAGGAAGGAAGGAAGAAAAAAAGAAAAUUGUAUAAUCUUUCCUAAAGAAAUAAAACAUUACACUAUAUAUAUAUAUAUAUAUAUAGUUGAAUGGUUUAAUAAUAUAGAACAAAUUGAAUAUAUUUUUUUAAGAACGUGAAAAAAAAGUAUAAAUGAUAAACAUUUAUACGUUUUAAUUUAAAAAAAAUAAUAAAUAGGAAUAACUGCAAUGUUGUAUAAUAUAUUGUAAAUGUUCUAUUUUUGAACAUCAAAAUGUUUUUUUUCAUUUAUUUUUUUUUUUUGAUAUAUUUUUUUUUCGUUUUAGAAAUUUUUUUUAAAACAUAACUAUAAAACAAAAUAAUUAUAUAAUAUUUAUAUGUAAUAUGAGAAA
rnacentral:sRNA from 1 species